UACCUCAGUAACGGCGAGUGAAGCGGUAACAGCUCAAAUUUGAAAUCUCCCUUCCGGGCGAGUUGUAAUUUGUAGAAGAUGCUUUGGGUAUGGCCCCGGUCUAAGUCCGUUGGAACACGGUAUCAUAGAGGGUGAGAAUCCCGUAUGUGACUGGGUGCUUUUGCCUAUGUAAAGCUCUUUCGACGAGUCGAGUUGUUUGGGAAUGCAGCUCAAAAUGGGUGGUAUAUUUCAUCUAAAGCUAAAUAUUGGCCAGAGACCGAUAGCGCACAAGUAGAGUGAUCGAAAGAUGAAAAGCACUUUGGAAAGAGAGUUAAACAGUACGUGAAAUUGUUGAAAGGGAAGCGCUUGCAACCAGACUUGCACGCGGUUGAUCAUCCAGGCUUCUGUUUGGUGCACUCGACCGUGUUCAGGCCAGCAUCGGUUUUGGUGGUUGGAUAAAGGCCUUGGGAAUGUAGCUUCUUUCGGGGAGUGUUAUAGCCCUCGGUGCAAUGCAGCCUACCGGGACCGAGGACCGCGCUUCGGCUAGGAUGCUGGCGUAAUGGUUGUAAGCGACCCGUCUUGAAACACGGACCAAGGAGUCUAACAUCUAUGCGAGUGUUUGGGUGUCAAACCCAUACGCGUAAUUAACGUGAACGGAGGUAAGAACCCUUAAGGGUGCAUUAUCGACCGAUCCUGAUGUCUUCGGAUGGAUUUGAGUAAGAGCAUAGCUGUUGGGACCCGAAAGAUGGUGAACUAUGCCUGAAUAGGGUGAAGCCAGAGGAAACUCUGGUGGAGGCUCGCAGCGGUUCUGACGUGCAAAUCGAUCGUCAAAUUUGGGUAUAGGGGCGAAAGACUAAUCG
rnacentral:rRNA from 1 species